GUUGAUCCAAUUUAGCCAAAUAAUUGUUUAUUCCAUAGCUGUUGUUAAAAGCGCAAAUUUUGUGCAGGUCAUCCCUUUAUACUAUGUGUAUUGCUUUCCCCUGACUGCAAGCAUCCAGCCACUUUAUUUUAGAGCUUAUGAGUGCAAGGACCCCUUGGAAUGUGUAUAUGUGUAUAUAUAUAUACAUACAUACAUACACAUACACAUGGGCGUCUGCAGGAAUUUUUCCGGGGGGAGGGGUAUAACUGUAACGACAUCCAUGCUCUGCCCCCUUUUGACAGUGUCAUGAAGGGGAGGGGCAUACUCAUUAUCACAUAAAGAAUAGACAUGCAAGAGAUUGAGAAACAU